rnacentral:rRNA from 1 species
AACGUAGGUACCGAGCGUUAUCCGGAUUCACUGGGCGUAAAGCGCGUGCAGGUGGUUUGGUAAGUCGGGCAUGAAAACUCUUGGCUCAACUAAGAGACGCUGUCCGAUACUGCCGGACUUGAGGGCAUAAGAGGGAGGUGGAAUUCCGCAUGUAGUGGUGAAAUGCGUAGAUAUGCGGAGGAACACCAGUGGCGAAGGCGGCCUCCUGGUAUGCUCCUGACACUCAGACGCGAAAGCUAGGGGAGCGAACGGG